GAUGAACGCUGGCGGCGUGCCUAAUACAUGCAAGUCGAGCGAACAGACGAGGAGCUUGCUCCUCUGACGUUAGCGGCGGACGGGUGAGUAACACGUGGAUAACCUACCUAUAAGACUGGGAUAACUUCGGGAAACCGGAGCUAAUACCGGAUAAUAUAUUGAACCGCAUGGUUCAAUAGUGAAGGACGGUUUUGCUGUCACUUAUAGAUGGAUCCGCGCCGCAUUAGCUAGUUGGUAAGGUAACGGCUUACCAAGGCGACGAUGCGUAGCCGACCUGAGAGGGUGAUCGGCCACACUGGAACUCAGACACGGUCCAGACUCCUACGGGAGGCAGCAGUAGGGAAUCUUCCGCAAUGGGCGAAAGCCUGACGGAGCAACGCCGCGUGAGUGAUGAAGGUCUUCGGAUCGUAAAACUCUGUUAUUAGGGAAGAACAAAUGUGUAAGUAACUAUGCACGUCUUGACGGUACCUAAUCAGAAAGCCACGGCUAACUACGUG
rnacentral:rRNA from 1 species